UGAAGGCCUUCGGGUUGUAAAAUUCUGUCUUCAGGGAAGAAAAAAAUGACGGUACCUGAGGAGGAAGCCCCGGCUAACUACGUGCCAGCAGCCGCGGUAAUACGUAGGGGGCGAGCGUUGUCCGGAAUUACUGGGCGUAAAGGGCGCGUAGGCGGUUUAUUAAGUCAGAGGUGAAAGCUCCCGGCUCAACCGGGGGACUGCCUUUGAAACUGGUAGACUUGAGGGCAGGAGAGGGGAGUGGAAUUCCCGGUGUAACGGUGAAAUGCGUACAUAUCGGGAGGAACACCAGUGGCGAAGGCGACUCUCUGGCCUGUUACUGACGCUGAGGCGCGAAAGCGUGGGGAUCAAACAGGAUUAGAUACCCUGGUAGUCCACGCCGUAAACGAUGGGUGCUAGGUGUAGGGGGUAUCGACCCCCUCUGUGCCGCAGUUAACACAAUAAGCACCCCGCCUGGGGAGUACGGCCGCAAGGUUGAAACUCAAAGAAAUUGACGG
rnacentral:rRNA from 1 species